AUGCGAUAUAUUCGCGACCAUUCUUAAUAUUACGUUAAAUUAUUUGAAAAAUAUAUUAUGUAUUUUUGUCAUCGCAAAAGAACUGUUUUCGAUUCCUAGCAAUUCGCCUGCAUUAUUAUUAAAAUGUCUGAAUGGAUUGGAUUCGAACGUAAUAAUAUACAGUAGGUAACAUAAUAACCUGUAUAUUUUCGCGAACUCAACGGUUCGGCGCAGUGCUUCUUUAAAACUUCUUAAAUACGGUUCCAAUAGGUGCCCGCCGAGAAAUUUCGAAGUCGAAUAAUCGACGCGAGAUACUUUGGUCGCCGUCACGAGUGUCUGGAAAAGUUUCA